CAUUGUGUUGUCACAAAUUAAGUGUGGUUGUGUUGCCAGCAGUGCAGUGUGUUGUGAUGGCAACAAUUACAGGCAUGCUAAUUGGCAGCUGUGAUGAUAAAGUUUGGCGCCGCCCACACGUGACCUCCGCCAGGCAGUGAAGAAUGCGGGCUGACCUUUGACCCACAUGGGGACAAGAAUACUCACCAUGUGUCCCCCUGGGGGCGCACACCACCGCACUCAGCACGCCCACCAACAUCCACACUGAAGCCUCCAUGCUGCUCCCGGUCCCGGUCCUGGUCCAGUGGGAAGUAGCGGCUCUCAAGCAGGGACUGCACGAACGUGCAUGUUCGUCCCGCCGCCGGCAGCCAGGGGGAAAAAAGUCCCGGUAUAAUCCCGAAUGGUGCCGAGCAGUCCCGAAGGUUCCCGAAGGAAUGAAAGCAGCGACGAGACGAAGAAGGAACGAGACGAGUGGCGGCAAGUGCGGGGAGAAGACGACCGUCUGCUGCUGGUGCGCACGCACCAACAUUCAUGAGGGAGGGGCUGUGAUCGUCUAUACCAAGAUGACUGCCAGGUGCCGUACCUAAGCCGGAGCAGACCAUCAGGGCCGAGUUGCGACGAGAGAGUGUGUCGAUGUUAAGAUAUUACGCCGAGUUGGAGCAGUUUCGUCUGUUUUAUUCGUAGGGGGCGCUAGAGCGCAAUUUUGAGUUUUGGGGUUGUUUUUUGAUUAAAUCGCAAUUUUUGCCCGUCCUGACGUGUGUGUCCAGUUUGGUGAGUUUGAAGCAUUUUAAGGGGAUCAAAUUACAGCUCAAAUAGGCGGCGGUAUAAUAAAGAAUAAUAAUAAAACCUUUGAAUUACAAUAGGGUCCUCUGUCCCAAAGGGACAUCGGUCCCUAACAAUAUGUGACUAAUUUUUUCAAAAUGUUAUGACUGAGACAUUAAACUGGAGGGGAGUGAAAAGAAGUAUAAAUUGUCUUGGUGUUGAGAAUGAGAACGCGCACCCAUGUCAGCUGGUCGAUGCGAGCACACAUCCACCAGGACGGUCUGCAGGUUGGCAAGGAUGUGUUCUUUGGGGAAGUCCAGCUGCAGGAGGAGCAAAACGGUCAACAAAGCCCCACCUACUUCACCGUGACGACGACGCCGUGACGCACCGUGGCGAUCUGCGUCCUGACGUAGCACUCGCUCUCCACCGCGUACUCGUGGCCCGUCCGGAAGAGCUCCAGCAUCUUGGGGAUGUCCACGCCCACCGAGCCUGGGGGUCAGAGGGGGCAAAGACGUCAGUUCCGACGGCGGCGGCGGCCAAGGGGGCGAACACGGGGGCGACGUGUGGAUGGGCUUGCCUCUGUUGCUCUUAGGGAACUUCUUCCUCAGUUUGUUCUUCAGCGGCACCAGCUUGGCCAACAUUUCGGGCACGGCCACGUAGAAGUCGGCGACCAUCUCCUCGUCUAAGAUCUGAGAAAGGUUGACUUCUAACGGGCUGCUUAAAACGCUCUAGAAGGGGACACGCUCACCGGCUGAAUAAGCUCCGCCCCUCCGACAAAGGCAGCUCCGCCCUCCUUGGCCACUGUGGCUUGAUGAGGAUCCUUGGACAAAGCAAAAGACAUUUCCAUCCCAGCAUGCAUCACUCCUGUGUGGCGCUAAUGAACACAUUAUAACGGGACUGUCUAUGCAAGUCUACACACUGACAGAGAAUAAGAAGCUGUGGCAGGAGGGACCCGUGUUGCCAACUUACUGACUUUGUCACUAUAUUCAGCGAGUGUUUAUUAGUAGUAGUUAGGAUUAAAACUCCUUUAAAAACAAACAAAACAAAAAAGUUGAUUAUCUACUUUUUGUCUCUCACAACGUUAUUUGUCUUUCUUUAUAUUUACACACAAAUGCAUUAUGGCCAACUAUUAUUAUUUAUAUAAAUUCAUAUGAAAAAAUAAUAAUAAUAGUAGUAGAACUAGAGCAUUUUAAUGGGCCUGCUAUCUGUGACCUGGACCUUGCCGGAAGCUGCCGUGGCGAGUAUCCGAAUCCGUGACUUUUAGCUACAGGGCUAUCCUAAAACGUUAGCAUGCGCAGAUUAAAAUGCUAACACUUAGCAUGUGUGCAAAUAAUGGCAUGCUAACGGCGAGCACGUCUCACAUUUCAAGUAACA